rnacentral:rRNA from 1 species
UACGGGGGGGGCAAGCGUUGUUCGGAUUUACUGGGCGUAAAGGGAGUGUAGGCGGUUGGCCAAGUCGGAUGUGAAAGCUUCACCACUCAACGGGAAGAGGUCAUCCGAAACUGGUCGGCUAGAGUAGGGUAGAGGCAAGCGGAAUUCCUGGUGUAGCGGUGGAAUGUGUAGAUAUCAGGAAGAACAUCGGUGGCGAAGGCGACACGCUGGGCCGUACCUGACACUGAACCGCGACAGCAUGGGGAGCAAACAGG